AAGAACAGAGAGCGAUGUCAUAUUCACAGGGUCCCAAUUCUGCCUUCUUAAGAAUUGGUGUUCCAGUAGAGCAGAUAGUAGUGUCACAUUCACAGGUCCCAAUUCUGCCUUCUUAAGGAUUGGUGUUCCAGUAGAGCAGAUAGUAGUGUCACAUUCACAGGUCCCGAUUCUGCCUUCUUUAUGUUUUACGCACUCCAUGUAGCUCAUCAUGAACCUACUUGUCACAGUUAUCAUGGGCAUCCUCAGCUCUGGUUGAUGAAAACACAGACAAGCCAGAUGAAUAAACAAAUUGUGGCCACA